AUUUUAAUGUGAUAAUAAUGAAUUUCUUAGCAUUCGCAAAGGAAUAUAAAAGGUGUUCAGUUCUCGUACUCUGAAAAAAAUAUGAUAAUAAUGGCGCUCCUUAAUCUUGUCUUAUUUCUUCUAAUUACUAUAUUAAAAAAUAUACCGGGAAUUAUGGAGCCGCUUACUCAAUUGCUUCAAAGCCUUUUGCCAGUGCUUCAAAGUUUACAGAGUUAUUUAGAAAAUUUGGGUAUAAAUUUAAACAGUACUUCAUCCGGUACUACAACAACUGCUGCACCGUCUCUUUUACCUCGUCUAAAUUUACCUAAAGUUACUGGUUAAAACAGUGAUCAGGUUCCUAUAUUUCGACCACUAAUGAAAACUGACAAACCUUAAUAGCGACAGAAAUAAAUUUUAGCAAGGCAAAAUAAAAUAGAUUUGACGUCAAACAAUAAAAUAUGACGUAUGCAAUUUAAUUUAUCAA